rnacentral:rRNA from 1 species
UACGUAGGGGGCUAGCGUUGUCCGGAAUCAUUGGGCGUAAAGCGCGUGUAGGCGGCCCCGGUAAGUCCGCUGUGAAAGUCGGGGGCUCAACCCUCGGAUGCCGGUGGAUACUGUCGGGCUCGAGUACGGAAGAGGCGAGUGGAAUUCCUGGUGUAGCGGUGGAAUGCGCAGAUAUCAGGAGGAACACCAAUAGCGAAGGCAGCUCGCUGGGACGUUACUGACACUGAGGCGCGAAAGCGUGGGGAGCGAACAGG